rnacentral:rRNA from 1 species
AGCAGCCGCGGUAAUUCCAGCUCCAAUAGCGUAUAUUAAAGUUGUUGCAGUUAAAAAGCUCGUAGUUGAAUUUCGGGGUCAGUAGGUUGGUCAUGCCACUGGUAUGUACUGGCCUCACUGAUUCCUCCUUCCUGAUGAGCCGUAAUGCCAUUAAUUUGGUGUUGCGAGGAAUCUGGACUGUUACUUUGAAAAAUUAGAGUGUUUAAAGCAGGCUAACGCUUAGAAUACAUUAGCAUGGAAUAAUGAAAUAGGACGUUCGAUCUUAUUUUGUUGGUUUCUAAGAUUGACGUAAUGAUUAAUAGGGAUAGUUGGGGGCAUUAGUAUUCAAUUGUCAGAGGUGAAAUUCUUGGAUUUAUUGAAGACUAACUACUGCGAAAGCAUUUGCCAAGGAUGUUUUCAUUAAUCAAGAACGAAAGUUAGGGGAUCGAAGACGAUCAGAUACCGUCGUAG